rnacentral:lncRNA from 1 species
GCAGAGUUGGCGCGCCAGGGCGUGGAAGCCGCCGGAGGAUCCCGCCUGUCGCAGCGGGGACGCGUGUGGGCCCCUGCUCCCAGGCCACUUCGCGCGCGCGCCCCCCACAUCCUCCUCGGGACACUUGUCCCUGGAUCCUCUACCCCUGGCCGGCCCGAGGCCGCCUUCUCGGGAAGCCCCACCAGCCCCCAAGGGUGUUUUCCCUUGGCUACCUGCGCUGCGAGGAGAGAAGGGAAUUCAGAGAAGGGGUACAAGGGGGGCGUCCCUGGGAGGGGGCGCGACUGGAGGAGACAGAACGGGGAGCGGGUGCCAAAGCGCGGGCCUUUGCUCCGCCUGGGCGCAGUGGGAGCACCAACUGGCAGAGUUGGAAACUUUUCCUCCACGUGGCACCACAGUGCGUGGACGAGCGACCCCGCGCCCGGAUGACCCCUGGGAUUCCCGCCUCGUCUUCCAGCGGGGGACCUAGGGACGCACGGGCGGCUUCAGAUCCGGGAGCGCGAGGCCUAACAGCCGGGGGCCGAACUUGAACCUCGGAGGCGGCCGCGGGCGAGGGGCGGGGCCGAAGGGGCCGGGACCGCCGCCCCAGCUCGAGGACCCGUUAGACCGGCAAACCGCAGUCCCUGCCCCGCGGGCUUCCUUUACUUUUUGGGAGUGGGGGGCGGUUUCCCUGCUUUUUCCACCACAGCCCCUCCUCCCGCCGCAAUGUGGCUGAUGCUCAUAAAAAGUUGUAUUAAAGAGCUGACUGCAGCCGAGAAUCGAUCAACAAAAGCGACCAGCCUCUCUGGGUCUAUCCACGGCCUUCUCAACAGAUGACUUCAAGUUGAUUUCGUGCUUUAUUUCUUAAGAAUAGUGACUAACCUAAGGGAUCUGAUUCAAUUUAUUAGGAACACAGUGCCACCUUCCAAAAUUACUUACCUAAGAGGACUGAGCCUGCUGUCCCUGGAGCAGUUAGCUAAAACAGUGCCUCAGUACGGAGCGUACCUGUGUUAACUUCUAGAGUGCUGUUUCCGGCAGCUGCUGAAAUCCACGCUGAGGUUAUCAAGCUCAUCCUACAAAAUAAAGUGUCUCUGAUGAAUGACACAUUGAUCAACCCAUAUUCUUCAGACUCUACCAUGUGAAGCCAAUGAAAGAUGCCUGCUGGUGACCAAAUGAUGUUCAUGUAAAAUGGCCAUUCUGGCAAAUUUAAUAAGCUUUAGAUUUAUUUUAAAAACCAACCAGUAUUUCUAUCCCUUCUCAAGGCAAUGUUUUCUAUUUGAGGUUUCACUUGACAUGACCAGGUAGGAAAAUUGAUGAAUAGUCAUAAGAAGAAACUUU